GAUGAACGCUGGCGGCGUGCCUAAUACAUGCAAGUCGAGCGAACAGACGAGGAGCUUGCUCCUCUGACGUUAGCGGCGGACGGGUGAGUAACACGUGGAUAACCUACCUAUAAGACUGGGAUAACUUCGGGAAACCGGAGCUAAUACCGGAUAAUAUAUUGAACCGCAUGGUUCAAUAGUGAAAGACGGUUUUGCUGUCACUUAUAGAUGGAUCCGCGCCGCAUUAGCUAGUUGGUAAGGUAACGGCUUACCAAGGCAACGAUGCGUAGCCGACCUGAGAGGGUGAUCGGCCACACUGGAACUGAGACACGGUCCAGACUCCUACGGGAGGCAGCAGUAGGGAAUCUUCCGCAAUGGGCGAAAGCCUGACGGAGCAACGCCGCGUGAGUGAUGAAGGUCUGCGGAUCGUAAAACGCUGUUAUUAGGGAAGAACAAAUGUGUAAGUAACGAUGCACGUCUUGACGGUACCUAAUCAGAAAGCCACGGCGAACUACGU
rnacentral:rRNA from 1 species